UCUGCACAGAAUAGAAUGCUUUGGAGGGUCACAUGAGAAAAACACUCCCUCUGAAGGGGGCGAGGAAGAUAGUAGUGUUUCUGUGUGAAGCAACAGAGUAUGUAAGAGAAAAUGCCAACCAGGCCACACCAAGGAGCCAUUGUGAUGGCCGUGCUUCAGCAGAAGAGGGAUCUGAGGCCAGCGAACAAAGGUGAAGGGGACACUGCAGGACUCUCAGCUCCUGCGCAGUCAACAUCUGCCGUACAGAACACAGCACCAUUCUGCGGCGUUCAAUAUUCUCCUUGUGUGCCAGAGCCUAAAAGGCAGAUACUAAACCAAUAGCUGAAGGAAGGAGGAGAGAGAGAAGGAGGAGGGAAGGAGGGAGGGAGGGAGCACGGAUCUGCGCCCUCAUCCAAAGACACUUCCUGCGCCACCCACACCAGGUCACCUGCUGCAUGAAGGAUCGGGACACUCUCUGCAGCACCUUGCUGCUUGCUUGGCAGAAAGCAGAGUCAUCAAUAAACAUCCACUGAAUUGGAGCUCUCCACUCGAAAAAGAAGAAGAAAAGAAGAAGAAGAAGAAGAAGAAGAAGAAGAAGAAGAAGAAGAAGAAGAAGAAGAAGAAGAAGAAGAAUUAGAUUAGCUGAAGAAAUGAUGCCUCUUAAAAAAAAAAAAAGAACUAAGAAGUGGUUGAAAAAAACUAAGAAGGUAGAGCUGACCUGUGCACCUGGCCCGGCCCCAUCUGGGGAAUGCAGGCGGUCCCUGUGAGGGAAGCCGAUACCCUUCAACAUCUGGAAUUGUUCUUGAAGGCUUCUUUUUCUAAUUACGUGCUCACUAGGCAAGUUUAAGACUACUCAACAGAAAUCCUACUAUCUUCUUCGAUUGGGGCUAUGGCUGGUUAAUAGAAAAAAGAAAAGAUUAAUGCACAGAAUUAUACACACAAAUCCUACACACCUUAAAUAUUUUGGUUGAAUGUCAUAAAACCAUAUAAAUACUGAUUCACUCAUGUGGAUGCUUUUGCUAAUGGUCCCACCAAUUGGAUUUGUCAUGGUAUUUCUUUUUUUUUUAAGAUUUUAUUUAUUUAUUCAUGAGAGAGAGAGAGAGAGGCAGAGACACAGGCCCAGGGAGAAGCAGGUUCCACCCAGGGAACCCGAUGUGGGAUUUGAUCCUGGGACUCCAGGAUCAUGCCCUGGGCUAAAGGCAGGUGCCAAACCACUGAGCCAGGGAUCAGGGAUCCCCCUGUCAUGGUAUUUCUUGCAUUAACAGAUAAUAAAUAAUAGAGUGUCUAUGAA